rnacentral:piRNA from 1 species
UCCUUUAUGUGUCCCUCUUCCCAGU